GACGAACGCUGGCGGCGUGCUUAACACAUGCAAGUCGAGCGGUAAGGCUCCUUAGGGAGUACACGAGCGGCGAACGGGUGAGUAACACGUGAGUAAUCUGCCCUUCACUUCGGGAUAACCACCGGAAACGGUGGCUAAUACCGAAUACGACCAGUCUUCGCAUGAGGUGCUGGUGGAAAGUCUUUUCGGUGAAGGAUGUGCUCGCGGCCUAUCAGCUUGUUGGUGGGGUAAUGGCCUACCAAGGCUUCGACGGGUAGCCGGCCUGAGAGGGUGACCGGCCACACUGGGACUGAGACACGGCCCAGACUCCGACGGGAGGCAGCAGUGGGGAAUAUUGGACAAUGGGCGAAAGCCUGAUCCAGCAACGCCGCGUGAGGGAUGACGGCCUUCGGGUUGUAAACAUCUUUCAGUACCGACGAAGCGCCCUGUCGGGUGGUGACGGUAGGUACAGAAGAAGGACCGGCCAACUACGUG
rnacentral:rRNA from 1 species